AAGAAACCAAAAUCAUGAUAAUAAAUGGAACUACCACUGGAUCUUAUUGUAGUGGAGACCACAGGGAUUUGUUAGGAAGUGAAUCAGAGAGCAUGUCUUGCAAAUGUCUGGAGGUUGGAGCUGAUACAGAGCACCAUCGAUUGUUGCCUCAAAGAUGCUAGCUCCACAUUUUAAUUUUUAAAAAAUAUUUAAAAUAAGAUUGAAAUCUGUUUUUUGGGUAAAAUCUCCCCAUUUGUAAAUACAAGCAUUAAUUUAGCAUAAUAUUCUGGAGAUGGACUCAAAUUUAUCUGAAGAUCAUCAAAAGUCCUCAAGUUGCUGGUUUGUGAUAUUUUGGACAGUUUCUAUCUAUGGGCUUAUGAUGCUUCUAAUGGCUCAAAUUCAGUUCCAUUUCCUUGAUGUCUUAAUUGCACCACUGUGAUUCUUAACAUUGUCCUUACACAUUUAGGAAACCAUCCUACUUCGAUCUUCUUCACACCCACCUAAGCUGGCCACCCCAACCAUGGUUCUUUCUCAGCUUCCAUCUAAGAGAUUGGAAGGGGAGGUUGCUUCUGGGAGGAUCUUCCCAGUGUAUUCCUAGAGCAGCCUACAUCAACACGCUGUCUGUGAAUGUAGAGCAAUGAGCCUCAGGGCUUGGGAAAGAUGCACUUGAAUUAUUACAUUUCUGACUAGAACAUUUUGCAUGACUGCAAACUUAUGGGCGGUGGCUUGGUGAUACAAAUCAUUCAGAUUUUCUUUGUCUCAGAACAAUCCAAACAAGAAGUGCCGAGGAAAGUUCAAAAUAUGUAUAAACAAUGGUGCAAAUCACUCAUAUUAAGUCUGCAGAUCGGAUUAAACAUUUGACUACAGCUUCGACCUGAAAUAAGCAAAGACAAAUGUCCUCCUAAUCCCAUAGGAAGUGCCACAGCAAAGCCAAAAUGUGCAUGUAUCUGAUUCUCUCUUGCUGUCUUUCUCACACACAACGUUCAGUCUGGUGAAUUUUCUGAUACUUCCUUGAGGCCAUCUUCACUUCGGGGAUACUUCUCUUUAUAAACCAUCUUGGAGCUAAUUUCUAACGUUUAAGUAUGUAAUAUUUUUUAAUUUAUAGUGUGUUUUUAAUAAUUAUCCUUGAUAGACCAUUUGGAAAAUACUGUGAAGUACAUGAACUAGUAUAAAAAAUUACAUAUAACCCCAUCAUCACCCAGAGACACUCACUGUUAUAAUUUUGGCCUAUGUUCUUCUAACCUUUUUGCUAUUCUCUUAUGGAAAACAAACAUACAAACAACCACAACAACAAUGAAACCCCAAGGCAAAAAACUCUCUUGACUUUAUAGGAAGAAUUUGAAUAUGAAGAAGUAGAUUUUUGUGGUCAUUUCAUUUAAGAUAAGUAAGAAAUAAGAAAAAAAAAUGCUGAGAGGUGAGACUACCAGAAAGUCAGAAUCCAAUUUGUCAGAGGAUAAAAUGAAUACUUCCUCAGCAAUAUUGUUAGCACAAUUUGACCAAAAACAUAAAGGCCAAGGAGCAUGGAACUAUCUGGGGCCUUGGAUACAGUGAUGACAGGUGAGAAUACAGGUGAUACCUAUCGACACAGCUGAGAGCUCCUGAUAGAGAAGUAGAGGAUUCUUACAAAAGAAUCAUCAGUUGAAUGACUUUGGGUAGGAGGAAUUCUUAUCCCAAUCCAGCCUGAAGCACCUUCCAUUAGUCACUCUGUCUCCAGUACUUCUGCCUAAUCAAUCAUCAUAAAUAAAUGCAACAAAUUCUAUAAUAUUCUACCUGUAUAGGUGUAUGUGAAGUUUCAAUGUGUGCAUUUGAUAUAUGUAUUCAGUUAUACAUAUAUCUAUAUAUAUUUUUUCAUAUUAUUUUCCAUCAUGAUUUAUUUCAAGACACUGAAUAUAAUGCCCCAUACUAUACAUGACCUUGUGUUUAUGUAUUCCAUAUACAAUAGUUUGCAUCUGCUAAUCCCGAACUCCCAAUCCAUCCCUCCCCCACCCCCCAAAAGAACCAUCUACCUAUUACUGGUCACUUUCAUUCACCCCAAACAAAUCCCAUGUAUUCUAAUACUGGACCCUUAUCUAAUGUAUGAUUUGCAAAUAGAUUCUCCCAUUCUAUGGCUUGUAUUUUCAUUUUUUAAAAUGUUAUCUUUUGAUCCACAGAAGUUUUUCAUUUUGAUAAAAUCCAAUUUAUCUGGAGUUCCCGUCGUGGCUCAGUGGUUAACGAAUCUGACUAGGAACCAUGAGGUUGCGGGUUCGAUCCCUGGCCUUGCUCAGUGGGUUAAGGAUCUGGCAUUGCUGUGGCUGUGGAGUAGGCUGGUGGCUACAGCUCCCAUUAGACCCCUAGCCUGGGAACCUCCAUAUGCCACGGGAGCAGCCCAAGAAACAGUAAAAACACACACACAAAAAAAAUCCAAUUUAUCUUUUUUUUUUUCUUUUCAUCAUCAUUCUUUAACAAGUGGAUAUCCAAUUGUUUCAGUACUAUUUAUAGGAAAAUACCUAUUAUUUAAUGUCUCAUUUAAUUUUCACAGUAGUUCAAUGAAGUAAGGAUCACUGCCCCUGUUUGCAAAUGAGGAAAUUGAGGCUCAGGAUGGUUAAGUGACUUGCCUGAGGCCCUGAAGAAUUCUAAGAGGUGGAAUUUAAUUUGGCUCUAAAGGCAGAGAUCUUUCAAUAAUACCAAGAUGGGCAUGCCAAUAAAUGGUAAAAGAAACACACACAUAAAAGAAUACUCCUCAUUUGAUGCCUUUAAAUUUUUGUUUCAAUUAAAUAUAUCCUUCUUGAGGAGCUGUGAGCAUCGAGAGCUCCAGGCCUAGGAAAGAUGAAUAAGCACAGUUGUUAUUUUUAAAAGCUACUAAUAAUAUACUAGAAACAAGGGGAUUUCCUAUAAGCAGGAGAGCCUUAGAACUCAGCAGGUUUGGUCAAAGCAGCAGAAACCAGCUUAUGGAGCUGCAGUCAGAGAGUCAGCAGGAGCUUGGAGAACCAACAAACAGACCAGAACUGAUGCAAUGGCUCAGAAACUGAAAGCUAGGGACUGUCUUGGGCAAAGGCAGUAAGGCCAGAAUAUCACAGCCAUUGCAGAAUCUCUCCAUAGACACUGUGAGUGCAUCUCAUUGUCUCCGAGUCUUUGCGUCAGUAGGUCUAGAUCCAGAAACAGGUGGGAGCAUAUGUCUGCCUGUUUGAGCCUGAGAUGUGUGGUCCAGCUGUGUGGGCAGGAGACUGACGGGGACUUCGUCCAGUCCAGUGAGGCAUCCUCCAACAUAACAGGGGGGAGGAUGCUAUAAAUGCCCACUCCCAGGACAGUAGAGAAACCACUCUUCCCUCUGCUAUUCCAGUAACUAUUCUAGUUCAUUUCUUUGUGUCAGUGUGCCACAGAGCCAAACAGUCUCUGUGUUAUUUUCAGUCUUUUCGAUAUUUCACAUGAAGUGUUUUCCCUGUGGUUUGGAACCAUAUUUUACAUACCACUACUUUGCAUUUCUCAUGGCACCUUGAAUACAGGCUUAUAGGAUGUAUUUUCUAUAAGUGACUAAAGAUUCCUAGGAUACCCCAGGGACCACAAUCCAUUCUUCAAAACCCACAUGUGGAUUCUGUACAACCAGUUUCUCAUCUUAACUCUGUUUCCUUCCUGCCCCAAAUGAUCCCAAGGACCCCAUAUCUACCAGUGGUUGAGGAUGCACAUUUGAAUGGGCUCUGAGAGGGGGAUUCUGGGCCAAGUCAGAGCUUUCGCCUAACACAAAUAUUUCCCUUCGUAUGGCCUUGGUUUUGGACUUUCCCACUCUUUAAGGUAGUUCUUUCUUCAGGCUUCUUUCAUCCAUCAUAAUUCUGUGGAGUUUUGGGUUCUUUCCCUUGUUUAUCGUCCAGAGCCAGAACGGGUUGUCUUUUCUGCUUUACUAACCCCCAGGGAGAUGAGUGGAAUCCCCCAAAUAGCUGAGCUCUGACUCAGAGCUUUGAGGACCUUCUCUCUUGGCCUCACUCCCUCAUCUCUUUCCACAGUUUUCAAAUCCCCAAGGUCUAGGGAUCCACUCAUGAUAAAAGUAUCUGUGGCUUCAUGGCGAAGCAACAUCAGGUUCUUGUUUUAAUCCUACAUAGUCAGAGUGCAGACAAUGAGAAAAGCAUUCAUUUGUUGUCAUGUCAAGUCUUUCUAUAGUUUUUAUCGUCCUUGGAACUGCAGGCUGUACUAUCAUGACUUUUGGGGGAAAGUAGAUGCCUACCAUUAUUAGUCUUUGGAAACAUGUGGUUUUCCUAAGGGACAGAAGGGCAGAAGGCCAAAGUUAGGAAAGAUGAAUAAAUGCACUCAUUCCUUUGUCAAAAGUUCUCAAAGGCUGCAUGCCAAGAGAGUAUUUUUGUCUUUGGGCAGCAAUAGUUACCCCUGAAUGAAAACAUGUUAAAUGGGAUUCAUUGGUUUGAAUUAUCAACAUUGUUCAUUAAUGGUUGGAUAAUACACGAGCCAAUCACCUCCCGCCUUCCCUUAGAACAUAUGCCCUUGACCAGCAGCCUUCCUGCCGGUCUUGUUCUUAGCUCCUGUGGGGCCUGCAGAAAGUGGGGGAGGGGAAGCCAGUCAGGACACACAAUGGGGUGCGCUAUGUUGAUGUCAUAGGGAGACAAAGUUGUUUUGUGCUGCUGGUGGUGGCGAUGGGAGAAUUGGGUGUAUGGGGGAUAUCUCUUGUUUAUUAGGAUUUCAAUAUAAGGAGAAAGAAAAGACUACUCCAAUUGUGAAACUUUAAGUAAAAUCCUGUUUAUAUUUAUAGUCCAGGCUGAUGGAGAAAAUCCCUCACUUGAUAACAUCUAUUUUCAUUUGGACUUGAAUUAUUGAUGCUUUUUUAUUCCAUUAAGAUAAGAGUCUUUCAGGAGUUCUGGUCAUGGCUCAGUGGUUAACGAAUCCGACUAAGAACCAUGAGGUUGUGGGUUCAAUCCCUCGCCUUGCUCAGUGGGUUAAGGAUCUGGCGUUGCUGUGAGCUGUGGUGUGGGUCACAGACGAGGCUUGGAUCUGGUGUUGCUGUGGCCCUGGUGUAGACGGUGGCUACAGCUCCGAUUAGACCCUUAGCCUGGGAACCUCCAUAUGCCACAGGAGC
rnacentral:lncRNA from 1 species